rnacentral:rRNA from 1 species
GCGCGAAAACUUUACAAUGCGAGCAGUCGUGAUAAGGGAACUCCGAGUGCCUGUAAAAUCAGGCUGUCCGCCAGUGUAAAUAACUGGUGAAGAAAGGGCCGGGCAAGACCGGUUCCAGCCGCCGCGGUAAUACCGGCGGCUCGAGUGGUGGCCACUAUUACUGGGCUUAAAGCGUUCGUAGCUGGUUUGUUAAGUCUCUGGGGAAAUCUUCCGGCUCAACCGGAAGGCGUCUCAGGGAUACUGGCAGACUAGGGACCGGAAGAGGUGAGAGGUACUUCAGGGGUAGGAGUGAAAUCCGGUAAUCCUUGAGGGACGACCUGUGGCGAAGGCGUCUCACCAGGACUGCUCCGACAGUGAGGAACGAAAGCUGGGGGAGCAAACC